CUUUGAUUCUGUGAGACAAGAACCAAGCUGUCCAGUAUCACUACCAAGUACUACACUGUAAAAAGGAAAUGACCACUCAGCUUAUCACGGAUGCCCCAUCCUCCAUUUUGGUUGAGACCAACUAAAAGAUUGUGUCACUUUGGCUCCAGUAAGGACAAUACUUAUGAACUGUGGCCUGGAUUGCUAAAGAAAAGGCUCUCUCAUCACCAGGUUCCUCAGGAAUGAGAUAAAACAUCAUCAAACCUCAGGGUGCAGGAAAACCCAUUCUUUAACUCACGCUGUAGAUACUCCCAAGACUAUCGCCACAAUGCUUGAGAGGCCUCCUACCACACCAGUUGGAGAAUGCAUUUGUGGUAUUCAUGAACCAAAAGAGGUCUGUGGCUACUGUGUGGAGUCCAUGAUAUCCCAAUAAAGAUGGAAUGUAGAGACACCAAAAUGUGCACAUUUAUCCAUGAGAGACAACAGCUUUCCCAAGUUUCAUUAUUGAGAACAUUUGAAGAUGGUGGAAAGAGUAACCAAUUUCCAUUUACCAGAAUUCCUCAUAGGAAUCAUGUUUUGGCUGUUCUGCCUGAGGGGGAAAGUUCAUCCCUACUUUUAAUUAGGACUGAGUUGUACAUGUACAAUUUUUUUCUUUUUGUGUUUCCAAUUUUCUUUCAUUAAGCAAUUUGUACAUUGAAAUCCAUGUCCUUAGCUAUGCUUGAAGAAAUUACAAUAUCCUUUUCCUCCCUCAGGCUGGAAAAGAAGAGCAGCUGAUGUGUGGAUUAUUCCUUCACUGACAUUUCUCUGCUUCAUAGGCAAGAAACUCAAAAGACCAGCUUGGGGAGGUUUUUAAAAAAUGUGUUUGAAAUAACUUUAGACAUGUAAUAGUUGUAAAAAUCCUGCAGAGUUUCCAUAUAUCCCUGACCCAGUUUUUCCCAAUGUUAACAUCUUAUGCAAUCAGAGAACCAGGAAAUUAGCAUUGAUAGAAUGAAUUCUAGUAAAAGUCUUAUUUGACUUUUACCAGCAUUCCCAGUAAUGCCCUUUUUCUUUUCCAAGAUCCUAUUCAGGAUCUCACGUUGUUUUUAGUUGUCAUUUCUUUGAGAGGAAUAUUUGCAGUCAGGAAAACAGAAUUAACGUGCACCUUCCCCCCAUUCUCUUUCUCUACACUUGGCAAGUUUUGUUUCUAAGGAGGAUUUUCUAAUACCUUGGAGACAGUCAGCGAUAUCAUUAAAGAAAUAGGGCUCAAAUCUUUGAUUUUUGCAUGACUAUAUCCCUUAAUAGACUGUAAAUUCCUUGGGACACUUUUUGAUUUGCCACAAUACAAAUUUGAUGAAGAAACAAAUGAACAUAAUUUUCAAAAUAUUCUGCAAGGUUUGCGGUGUUGUGAUUUGUUGUGGCAGCUCAGCAGUGGUGCAGAAAUGACCCACUCAUCUGAGCAACCACCAGUGUCACUUAGCGAAGCUUCCAUGGUGGUUAAUAUGUACUUACCAUAUCGAGC